rnacentral:snRNA from 1 species
CACCUUGCGCAGGGGCAAUAUCGUAACCAAUGAAGGCCUUCUGAGAUGCGAUUAUUGCUAGUUGAAAUUUAUAGUGAAAAACAAAUUGAAACUUCAUAAAAUAAUUCCAGAAUAAUAACCAAAAAUUAU